AACCAGGAGGGUUGAAAAGCUAGGGGAUGACUUGUGGGAAGCGGUGAAAUUCCAAUCGAGCAGGGAGAUAGCUGGUUCUCACAGAAAUAGCUUUAGGGCUAGCCGCAAGGUGAGAGAUACGGAGGUAGAGCACUGAAUGUCCUAGGGGGUAUUGAACCUACCGAAGACUAUCAAACUCCGAAUGCCGUCAUCUUAUAAUUGGGAGUCAGACUGUGGGUGAUAAGAUUCAUAGUCGAAAGGGCAACAGACCAGAUCGUCAGCUAAGGUCCCUAAAUGUAAGUUAAGUGGUAAAGGAUGUUGGAUUGCACCGACAACAAGGAUGUUGGCUUAGAAGCAGCCACUCAUUCAACGAGUGAGUAAUAGCUCACCGGUCGAGUGACACUGCGCCGAAGAUUGCCGGGGCUAAAACUUACUACCGAAGCUACGGCAUCAGUAACGCUGGGUAGGAGAGCUUCCAAAGAGGGUUGAAGAUGAGCGCGAGGGAC
rnacentral:rRNA from 1 species